UUUCUCUCGAUUUUUUUUUCUUCUUUUCAUUUUUUUCUCUAUAGCUCUCCUCUCUUCAUCGCAAAAUAGGGGUGGGGGUUUAGAUCUCACUGGGGUGCUCUGGCUACCCCAAUAAGAGACAGAGGAGGUGAAGAGAAGGCCUUCGGCGCGACAUCGGCUGCAGCCGGAGGAGUAGCCAGAGCACGGUAUAUGGCCAUCAGGUAAGCACUUUUUUUUUUUUUUUUGCCUAAAUUUAGUGACCCUUUGCCAGAUUUUGGCCAUCGCCGGUUCGAUCGGAAAGGAAAAGAAGAAGGGAGGAGAUGGACCUUUACCUUGACUCCAAGAUGGCGUUGUGACCAUGAAUCUGACAGCCCGGAGCUUAUUCGCCUCGGCUUGCUUGAACUGAUGGAUUUUUUGAAACCUUGACAAGAAGUUACAGUCUUAUAAAUUCAGAAUGAUGUAAGAUCUUGAUUUGUUUAGGCCCAGAAGGGGAAUAAACUUGAUGGUCCAUCUAGUUCAUCGAGGCAAUCCGAAGGAAAAUUAUUAAGUACUAACAAAAGUUGGAAGAUUGCAAACUAUGGUCCACGUAGCACAUUGAGACACCUUCUUGUCUUCAAGGAAGGUCCCCGGAGGGUUGUGUCUUUUGUUUUUCGGUCAUUUUUUUGUGAGGAGAGGGUUGUGGCAGCUUACCACCGUGCGUUUGUCUAAAUAAUCAGAUAAUAAAUUGUGCUGAAGAUGUAGAAAUAUUUUAUA